GGUUGGCUCCUGCAGUGGAGGGCGGAGUGAGACUCAGACACCCAGCCGGCGGGAGGACCACGAGGCUGGCUGGGGACAGGCGGCAGGUCAGGGGAGGGAAAGGAGAAAGGACAGAGGGGGCGCUGGACCCGGGACAGGAACGAGAGAAGCUCACCAGCUCGCUGACCGACCCACACGCAGAAAGACAGACAAACUCUUCUACGCUCUCACCCUGGAACCGUCGGACUGUCUCCCAAGGCAGCUCUUCUCUCCUUUUCCUGUCUUCUGGUGGUGGCUGAGACCGCUGCAGUAUUGAAGAGCAGGCGUCACUGACGUUCUGACUUCAACAAGAAAGUUGCUAAUGUUUCACCAUUAAGUAUUAUAUUUAUGUGUCAUUCAGUUGAUUCCAACUCCUAGCGACCCUGUGGACAGCAGAGCAGAGCCCUGCC